rnacentral:lncRNA from 1 species
CUCCAAUCUGGUCAAUGGAACAUCUGUGUUCCAUUGACUCCUUUACCGCAUCUAUGGAACGAAGGUGGUUCUUAUGUUGCUAUGGAACAAAGGUGGUUCUUAUGUUGCUAUGGAACAAAGGUGGUUCUUAUGUUGCUAUGGAACAAAGGUGGUUCUUAUGUUGCUAUGGAACGAAGGUUGUUCUUAUGUUGCUAUGGAACGAAGGUGGUUCUUAUGUUGCUAUGGAACGAAGGUUGUUCUUAGGUUGUUCUUAUGUUGCUAUGGAACGAAGGUUGUUCUUAUGUUGCUAUGGAACGAAGGUUGUUCUUAUGUUGCUAUGUAAUGAAGGUAGUUCUUAUGUUGCUAUGGAACGAAGCUGGUUCUUAUGUUGCUAUGGAACGAAGGUUGUUCUUAUGUUGCUAUGGAACGAAGGUGGUUCUUAUGUUGCUAUGGAACGAAGGUGGUUCUUAUGUUGCUAUGGAACGAAGGUUGUUCUUAUGUUGCUAUGGAACGAAGGUUGUUCUUAUGUUGCUAUGGAACGAAG